rnacentral:rRNA from 1 species
UACGUAGGGUCCAAGCGUUAAUCGGAAUUACUGGGCGUAAAGCGUGCGCAGGCGGUUAUAUAAGACAGAUGUGAAAUCCCCGGGCUCAACCUGGGAACUGCAUUUGUGACUGUAUAGCUGGAGUACGGCAGAGGGGGAUGGAAUUCCGCGUGUAGCAGUGAAAUGCGUAGAUAUGCGGAGGAACACCGAUGGCGAAGGCAAUCCCCUGGGCCUGUACUGACGCUCAUGCACGAAAGCGUGGGGAGCAAACAGG